GUUCCACAGGGAUGCUGGCCCAUGUGACUCUACAAGGUGUAGAAAGCGAUCCACAGGGAUGCUGGCCCAUGUUGACUCUACAAGGUGUAGAAAGCGUUCCACAGGGAUACUGGCCCAUGUUGACUCUACAAGGUGUGGAAAGCGUUCCACGGGGAUGCUGGCCCAUGUUGACUCUACAAGGUGUUGAAAGCGUUCCACAGGGAUGCUGGCCCAUGUUGACUCUACAAGGUGUUGAAAGCGUUCCACAGGGAUGUUGGCCCAUGUUGACUCUACAAGGUGUUGAAAGCGUUCCACAGGGAUGCUGGUCCAUGUUGACUCUACAAGGUGUCUAAAGCGUUCCACAGGGAUGCUGGCCCAUGUUGACUCUACAAGGUGUAGAAAGCGUUCCACAGGGAUGCUGGCCCAUGUUAACUCUACAAGGUGUAGAAAGCGUUCCACAGGGAUACUGGCCCAUGUUGACUCUACAAGGUGUAGAAAGCGUUCCACAGGGAUACUGGCCCAUGUUGACUCUACAAGGUGUUGAAAGCGUUCCACAGGGAUGCUGGUCCAUGUUGACUCUACAAGGUGUAGAAAGCGUUCCACAGGGAUACUGGCCCAUGUUGACUCUACAAGGUGUAGAAAGCGUUCCACAGGGAUGCUGGCCCAUGUUGACUCUACAAGGUGUUGAAAGCGUUCCACAGGGAUGUUGGCCCAUGUUGACUCUACAAGGUGUAGAAAGCGUUCCACAGGGAUGCUGGCCCAUGUUGACUCUACAAGGUGUUGAAAGCGUUCCACAGGGAUGCUGGCCCAUGUUGACUCUACAAGGUGUUGAAAGCGUUCCACAGGGAUGCUGGUCCAUGUUGACUCUACAAGGUGUUGAAAGCGUUCCACAGGGAUGCUGGUCCAUGUUGACUCUACAAGGUGUUGAAAGCGUUCCACAGGGAUACUGGCCCAUGUUGACUCCAAUGCU